CUUUUUCUCUCUGAAAGUAGCCGUCUUCUGGUAAAUGGCUAGGACUUAGAUCUUCCCACUUGUUCCUGAUGAUGCUGCUCUUCUUCCAAACUCGGCAUAGCACCCAAUCAUCCAACUACAACAGAGGAACAUAUUCGGUGGUGGUUGUAUCGAGCAAUCGGUACUCAUGCAUAAUCCAGUCUGUCUUGACUCCUCUAGGAGGGCGGCCACUGUAGAAAACUAAGGCCUUCUUGACCCCGAUAUUCUUGGCUCCACUUGAGGCAAAAAUCGGUUUAUCUAUCCCUGUGGCUUUCCAAUACCCUGAGGCUGCUGCUCUAUUAGGUCUUGCCCCGUUCGGGUACUUCCUCUCCCUUGGAGUGAAAAAGUACCACUCAUCUUCUCCAAACAAAGCCUUCUCUGUUUGAAAAUAGAAAUAAAACAUUGGGUCAGUCACUUAAGCAGUGAUUGCAGAAAAUAUUCAGUCUGAUAAUUCAUACUAUGUGGACUAUUCGAGCUUGUAUCGUUUAUGAAACAUAUCUAUAGUAUCAA